UACGUAGGGUGCAAGCGUUGUCCGGAAUUAUUGGGCGUAAAGAGCUCGUAGGCGGUUUGUCGCGUCUGCUGUGAAAACCCGAGGCUCAACCUCGGGCCUGCAGUGGGUACGGGCAGACUAGAGUGCGGUAGGGGAGAUUGGAAUCCUGGUGUAGCGGUGGAAUGCGCAGAUAUCAGGAGGAACACCAAUGGCGAAGGCAGAUCUCUGGGCCGUAACUGACGCUGAGGAGCGAAAGCAUGGGGAGCGAACAGG
rnacentral:rRNA from 1 species